GUGCAGGCGUCCCAACAAGGUGGUUGGUCAUUGCAAAUCCUCUCCCCUUCAGCAAUUGUUUCCAAGGUGGAGGUAGUUAAAAUGAAUAUCUAGACAGCCCUUGUUAAAGGCUGGAGUGCGGCAGGGGUUGGGUGGUGGGUGACGGGGGUGGUGCUGCAGCAGCCAAAGGGGGAAUAACUGCAGAGGAGGAAGGGUCACUGGGCUGCCUGCAGCAGCCCUGGGCUGAGGAAGUUCCCUGCAAGGUGACUACUAUGACUCCAGAAGAAAAGAUACCAACAGGAGUGUCUCCUGGACUUUUAGCAAGGGAUUUCAGCCACAGGUUAUCAGCCUCAGGAACACCCAGAUGACCUCUGCCCAUGCCCAGCCAUUGCUCUGUGGUUCUGCCAGCAAUGCGUACUCCAGAUCAUCAGUUUUUUUCGGGAACCAUAUUCUGUCCUUAAGUUGGAUUCUUCAAGCUUUGAGAGUGCCUGGGAGAAAACACCUUUGGGUUUACAGAUUUAUAUUGUGCCCAAGGCCCCACUAACCAGAUAGCAUUGUCCUUCCCAAUGGUCACUCUUCUACGACAUCCCCCACAUGCAGAAGCAAGAAGAAACUGGUCUUCUCCUCUCAAGCACUUGUAAAGAAACACAAGGGGUGGGGUGACUUGCAUUCAUUUCUUCCCAUUGCAAAGGUGGCACCCAGCACUGAGGAAAGCAAGCCAGGAUACCCAGGCUAUGGAAGUAUUCAUAUAGAGAGGAUGAAAGGGUAGGGCUCCUAAGGAAUGACUCAGCUGGCAUGUGAGAGCCAGGCCAGGAAAAGGUCAUAGUCAGUCACACCUGCUGCAAGGAAGGGGCUGCCUCAGGUGGGAUGUACAUAUUCUCUAGAGCAGAUGGGUGUCUGCUUGAGGGUUUUAGACUUGGGUGCAUGAAAACUCUCUGCUAUGGGGAGUUUGUGUGGGCUAGGCCAGAAGGUGGCUAGCAGACCCUCUACAUUUAUGUCCCUGAGCCAAUCAUGUUUUCACUCUCCAUAUUGCCAGUUAUGUUAACUGCUUAAUUUAUUUAGUCUGAUCAAUGGCCCAGUUCAGGCCCACCACUCCUACACUUGCUGGGGACAGCCAGGAAACAACCAGCCACACAAUGCUGAACUGUGCUGCUGCUGGGAGUCCAGGGCUCAGCCCUAAAGCAAGCUUGCAAACUUCACACAUAAGUACAGUCUAUAUAGCAAGUAAACUCUGACCAGAGAUGACAUCUGGUCCCACAACUCAUCAGGUCUAUGUACAAUAUUUCACAUACCACCCAAUAGAUAAGAUAAUAUUAACAGCAACCACUCUCCUUUAUCAAUUCCCCCUGCUCCAAUACAACCACCACACAUUGCAUUAAUACCCCAAACCCAUUCCCAAUUUAUUAAAUAUGGUGCAAGCUCAUAGACACUUAGAAGAGGCAAAUCUAGUUGUGAUGAAGAGUUCCUAGAGCUCUGGGAGCCAAGAUGGAGGUUUUCCAGUACCUGCACAUGUGGCUCAGGAGGAUGCUGCCCAGGAGCUAAUGAGUUGGGAGAGCAAACAUGGGAGGUAGAAGUCAGAUGGCCCAGCUCAGGGAGCUAUCUCUCUCAGCAUCUCAGCUUUGAGACUCUGCCACCACCUCUUCCCAGCCCAAGCUGCUGCCUAAACCAGGCAUGUUGAAGGGUGAGCAGUGGUUGCCAUGAAGCCAAGACCAAGAGAUUGCUGAGACUCCCACUCCCCUCCCUCAGACUCUAGGCCUGUGACAAGCCACACUGUCCUCCAGAACCCAUCGAGCUUUAGGCAAAAUGUUUUAGGCAUCUGACUAAGGAGCCCACCCGAGUAUGAGUAACAGAAGCCAAGAUCUGAGCUUUCUAGAGGGCAGGGCCUCUUUCUAGUCCCCCAGCCUCUUCCUUUGCUUGUGACUGUUUGUUUCAGACAGAAAGGAUGUUGUCCGUAAGUUCUCAGCCAGUCUCCAGUAUUAAGUUUGAAAACAUGAGGUGGAGGCUUCCUCUCACAUUGAUGUGGUCCCUGGGCUGGCUAGAGCCAGUGAGCAGGUAAACAGAAGCCAGCCCUUUCUCUAACUCCUGGCCUGUUCCACCACAUAUUAAGGGACUCUUCAAAACCUACUCCCUCAACCUUGCUCCAGGAAGGACAGGAUCUGGAGUAGAAAGGGGGAGCAUCACUGACUUUUUCACACCCUUUGAGCCAUCAGUCUUUCUUUCGUCCACACACUUGAAGUCCUCCUGCACCCAGCUGGACUAGUGACUUCAGAGUUCACAGGCAGGUUCACCCUGGGAUCCUGCCCAGCAGGUCCAGGUCACGCUGAUUAGUGUAAGCAAGAGCCUCCCACAAUCCACUGCCAGGGAGUUCCUGGGUGGAUUCGAGUAACAGAUUCCUCCUGGCCCAAAGGCCAGGGGUUUUUUUCUUCUUCACAGCUUUCAGGCAAGUAUUGGAUUUACAGACAGUAACUAGGCCCCAGAACCUGUGGAGAUACAUUUCCCUGGUGCUGCGCCCACUUGCCUCCUGGGGAGGUAAUAGGAAUGGCUUGUUCUGCUUCUAAACAUUCCGCCAAUCCACAGGAAGCCCGGACGGCCCUGCUCACAGCAGGAAUGGGGCACAGAGGGGCAAUGCUGGCUGUAGAACACCCCCCUGCAGGGGGCUGGGCCAGGGCUAGGGAGGUGAGUCCCGGGUCAGGCCGUACUGCAUGCUCACAGUGUGGUCCAACUCCUCCAGCUCUGCAGGCAGCGGGAUGCCCAGCUCCCCCAGGUACAGGGAGAGGGCCUCAAAGGAGUCCUCCAAUUUCGAGAAUGCUGGUCUAGAAGGAAAAGAGGUAAAUUAGAGGCAGGUGGAACAUGAGCAGGGCCAUGGGGUGGGUGGAAGGGAUCUAGGCUCAGCUACUUCCUGGUUGUAUAACGUCAGGCAAACUCCUUCACCUAGUAGUGCCUCUGUGAGAAAUGGGCAUAAUGUUACCGGUACCUCAUAUAUUUGCUAUAAAGAUUAGGUAACACUAUAACAAGGCUGGACUAGCUGGAGUUAAUACUUAAAAACAAUAGGAGAAAAACUUCCCUCCCAUAUCUUAGAGAAAAUGCAGUUAUCAAAGGUGGAAUCGGAAACACCAGGCUCCUAGUGCCACGGAAAUGGCUUGGCUGCCCCGGAAGCCUAAGACAGCUCAGGCUUACUCCUCCUCCUCCAUGUUUAUGCUUAAAUGUCAUGUCACCUCAGUGAGGCCUGCUCUGACGACCAUAUUUAAAAUUGCAACUGGUACCCUGAACAAUCGUCUUUACUUGUCUUGACUCUUUUUCCAUAGCAUCUGCCACAUUCUAAUAUUCAAUAUAGUUUACUUAUUGUAUCUACUGUAUGAUACAGUAGAUACCAUGCUAGAAUCUAUGUUCUAUGAGGGUAAGCACCUUUAUUUUGUUCGCUGCUGUAACCCAAGUGUUUAGAACUGUACCUAGCACACAGUAGGC
rnacentral:lncRNA from 1 species